rnacentral:rRNA from 1 species
GACGAACGCUGGCGGCGUGCUUAACACAUGCAAGUCGAACGGAAAGGCCCGGCUUUUGUGGGGUGCUCGAGUGGCGAACGGGGGAGUAUCACGUGAGUAACCUGCGCCUUACUGUGGGGGACCUCCAUGAGACUGGGGCUAAGACCGGGUAUAAGCUCCUGCUGCACAGGGUGUGAGGGUGAGAGUCGGAGUUUGGGGAUGGAAUCGCGGCUUAUCAGUGUGUUGGCGGGGUAGUGGCGUACCAGGGCUUUGACGGGUAGCCGGCUUGAGAGGGUGACCGGCCACAUUGGGACUGAGAAGCCGCCCAGACUCAUACGGGAGGCAGCAGUGGGAAAUAGUGCACGAUGGGCGGAGGCAUGAAGCAGCAAUGCCGCGUCCGAGAUCACGGCCUUCGGGUUGUAAACCUCUUUCGCCUGUGAAGAAGCGCGAGUGACGGUAAUGGGUCAAGAAGCACCGGCUAACUACGUG